CCAAACGGGUGAUGGCAGCUGCGCCUUUGGGUGCUCCGAGGGGGGUCCUGGGGGGGGACCCCGAGUUUUGUGGGUGAGAAGCGCCUGAGAGCCGGGAGCGGCGAUCCUGCGGGGGGUUUGUGAAUGAAGACCCUAUGGGGCUCCAUCCCUUUGCUGGGGGCUCUGGGGGUUUCUUCAUCCUUUGGGAUGGGGGUUCCGUUCCCCUAAAUGAUGGGGAACCCCUGAGGUUGGUGCCUGAGGACCCCCAAGAGUUGUGAAUGGGAUCCCUUGGGAUUUAUGAAGGGGAACCCCAAGAUCUGAGCAUGGGGAGCCCUCAAGGUUUGUGAAUGAAGACCCUACAGGGCUCCAUCCCAUCGCUGGGGGCUCUGGGGGUUUCUUCAUCCUUUGGGAUGGGGGUUCCGUUCCCCUAAAUGAUGGGGAGCCCCCCCAGAUUGGUGCCUGAGGACCCCCAAGAGUUGUGAAUGGGAUCCCUUGGGAUUUAUGAAGGGGAACCCCAGGAUCUGAGCAUGGGGAGCCCGCAGGGUUUGUGGCUGAGGACCCUAUAGGGGUCCGUCCCAUUGCUUUGGGGUUUGAGGGGCUGCCCAUCUUUUAGGACGGGGGUUCCGUUCCCCUAAAUGUUGGGGAGCCCCCCCAGGUUGGUGCCUGAGGACCCCCCAGUGGUUGUGAAUGGGAACCCUGAGAUCUGAGCCCUCAGGGUUUGUGAAUGAAGACCCUAUGGGGCUCCGUCCCAUCGCUGUGGGGUUUGAGGGGCUGCCCAUCCUUUGGGAUGGGGGUUCCUUUCCCCUAAAUGCUGGGGUACCCCUGAGAUUGGUGCCUGAAGGCACCCCAAGAGUUGUGAAUGGGAUCCCUUGGGAUUUA